GAAUCUUAGACAAUGGGCGCAAGCCUGAUCUAGCCAUGCCGCGUGAGUGAUGAAGGCCUUAGGGUCGUAAAGCUCUUUCGCAAGAGAUGAAAAUGACAGUAUCUGGUAAAGAAACCCCGGCCAACUCCGUGCCACCAGCCGCGGUAAUACGGAAGGGGUUAGCGUUGUUCGGAAUUACUGGGCGUAAAGCGCACGUAGUCGGAUCAGAAAGUUGGGGGUGAAAUCCCAGGGCUCAACCCUGGAACGGCCUCCAAAACUCCUGGUCUUGAGUUCGAGAGAGGUGAGUGGAAUUCCGAGUGUAGAGGUGAAAUUCGUAGAUAUUCGGAGGAACACCAGUGGCGAAGGCGGCUCACUGGCUCGAUACUGACGCUGAGGUGCGAAAGUGUGGGGAGCAAACAGG
rnacentral:rRNA from 1 species